rnacentral:rRNA from 1 species
UGCCUAAUACAUGCAAGGUCGAGCGAAUGGAUUGAGAGCUUGCUCUCGGAAGUUAGCGGCGGACGGGUGAGUAACACGUGGGUAACCUGCCCAUAAGACUGGGAUAACUCCGGGAAACCGGGGCUAAUACCGGAUAAUAUUUUGAACUGCAUGGUUCGAAAUUGAAAGGCGGCUUCGGCUGUCACUUAUGGAUGGACCCGCGUCGCAUUAGCUAGUUGGUGAGGUAACGGCUCACCAAGGCAACGAUGCGUAGCCGACCUGAGAGGGUGAUCGGCCACACUGGGACUGAGACACGGCCCAGACUCCUACGGGAGGCAGCAGUAGGGAAUCUUCCGCAAUGGACGAAAGUCUGACGGAGCAACGCCGCGUGAGUGAUGAAGGCUUUCGGGUCGUAAAACUCUGUUGUUAGGGAAGAACAAGUGCUAGUUGAAUAAGCUGGCACCUUGACGGUACCUAACCAGAAAGCCACGGC